GGAAUAUGGGUCAAUGGCCGGAAGGCUGAACCAGCCAAGUCGCGUGAGGGAAUAAGGCCCUACGGGUCGUAAACCUCUUUUGCCAGGGAGCAAUGCCGUCCACGUGUGGACGGAAGGAGAGUACCUGGGGAAAAAGCAUCGGCUAACUCCGUGCCAGCAGCCGCGGUAAUACGGAGGAUGCGAGCGUUAUCCGGAUUUAUUGGGUUUAAAGGGUGCGUAGGCGGCCUGCCAAGUCAGCAGUAAAAGUGCGGGGCUCAACCACGUACAGCCGUUGAAACUGCCGGGCUCGAGUGGGCGAGGAGUAUGCGGAAUGCGUGGUGUAGCGGUGAAAUGCAUAGAUAUCACGCAGAACUCCGAUUGCGAAGGCAGCGUACCGGCGCCCAACUGACGCUGAAGCACGAAGGCGUGGGUAUCGAA
rnacentral:rRNA from 1 species